ensembl:lncRNA
CCGUUAAAAUAAGAUGCUGUCUCACAGCAGGCAAUGUUUAGGUAGUGUUUGUGUGUGUGUGUGUGUGUGUGUAUGUGUGUAUUUCUAGUGAGAUGUGAUAUGCUUUGUCUGCAAAUAGUUAAGGAAUCGAAGGAGUGUAAGGCCUACUGGUCAUGUUUACAGACUGAAGGACAGAUGGAAGGAUGAGAAGCGUGUGUGUGUGUGUGUGUGUGUGUGUGUGUGUGAUGAGAGGAGAAAUGAAAAGAUACAACAGCAUGAAUGAAGACGCAUCUGCAAGACAGAUGGCCAGCCAGCAGCACCAGAGGAGCACUGCAGCAAAUUCCCCCUCGCCACGGAGUGUGUGUGCAUGGGAGAGAGAGAGAGCUGGGAAAGGGAGGGAGAGAAUGAAUGAGAUAUUGAUGAGAGAGAUGGAGAGGAAAGGAGACGACGGGACGGCGAGGGGGGGCGCUUCUUUUAAGGCACGUGUUCAGGGAUGG